rnacentral:rRNA from 1 species
UACGAAGGGGGCUAGCGUUGUUCGGAAUUACUGGGCGUAAAGCGCACGUAGGCGGACAUUUAAGUUGGAGGUGAAAUCUAUGGGCUCAACUCAUAGUCUGCAUCGGAAACUGCCGGGCUUGAGUGUGGGAGAGGUGAGUGGAAUUCCUGGUGUAGCGGUGAAAUGCGUAGAUAUCAGGAGGAACACCUGUGGCGAAAGCGGCUCACUGGACCAUAACUGACGCUGAUGCACGAAAGCUAGGGGAGCAAACAGG